GACGAGUUUUAUUAGACCCCCACCAUUUGAUGUAACUUGUUAGAUCAAUCUUUCUUUCGAAACAAAGACUCCCAACAUAAUCACUUUCUGCUGCUGGGUCAUCACCAUAAUUUAUGCUACUGAAACAUUCAGAUCCGGGCAUGCGGCCAAAUGACGAAUCCCAUCGACUGGAAAGCCCACGGUAUUUAGAAAUUCCUCUUGAAAAGCCACUACUCUUUCUCCGAAGAGAAGCCAGGUAUUCCUCUCUUGACACAUUCUGCAUUUCUUCAAGGUCUCUGGUAUAAUCAGUAACUGGAAAAUUAAUGAGUGUCCCAGGUCCCCAAUACUUUAAGGCAGCAAGAUCAUAUGCUCUAGCUGCAGCCUCCUCAUCAUCAUAAGCCCCCAAGUAUACUUGCUUUCCCUUCUUAUUCUGAUUCUGGUUCCAUGUACUUUUAUCCCAAAGGUGAGCUUCAUAUCGACCAGUCCAUCUAUGCCUGGUGACUCCACGGUAAAUGGAGCUGCGUUUUCCGGCAGUACAAGGAGGCAUCUUACUGAUGCGUUCUUUGGCAGUGCAGCCUCUCUCUUUCUUUGGUUUCUUUAGUCCUCUGUACAGUAAUAGCUGAUCAUUUGCGAUCAUAGCUUCCGAACUCUCUC
rnacentral:misc_RNA from 1 species